GGUGGCUCAGUGGUAGAGCGCUUGCCUUGCCAUGCAUGAGGUCCUGGGUUCGAUUCCCCAGCACCA
rnacentral:tRNA from 1 species